rnacentral:rRNA from 1 species
CCUGAGAAACCCAAAAGAUCGAAUGGGGAGAUUCAUCGUCAGCUCAUUUUGUAUAUGUACAAGUUACGAUGCGGGUUACUACUUGGAGUAUUGCCUGCACGUUCUUAUAUAUUUAGUUGCAAGAUGUUGUCGGCGUGCACUUCUCCCCUAGUAGGACGUCGCGACCCGUUGGGUGUCGGUCUACGGCCCAAGUGAUAGCCUUUAAUGUAAUUUAAAAAACAUUGAAGAUCCUUGGUGUUUUCUGACCGGCUACUUGGCGGUACUCGUACGGUAUUUAGCCGCAUAUUUAUAUGCGUCCAUGCCCGUCGCAAGCGAGGCCAAUUACUGAUAGUACGGACCUAGUGCCGGCGUUGGUAUUGGCCAGCUGUUGGUUGUACGGNGUUCUAGGACUGGCUAAAAUUAAUUACCCGGCGGNGAAGCCUACUGUUUGGGUACUUUNAGGACCCGUCUUGAAACACGGACCAAGGAGUCUAACAUGUGCGCAAG